AACCUUAAUUCCACGUGCUGAUCCAAUAUUACUGAUCCAACAGUAACAUAAAAAUGGUUUUAAUUCUAAGAGAUAAAAGGCAGAAGAAACUACAAUAUUCAAAAGCAGUGAAACAAUUUGAAAACGGAUGGAAAAUCAAGAUAUUGAAUUUAAUCCUAUGAUCAACACAUAUAUGGUGAAAAACAUGGUGAAAACCAAUGGAAAACAUGGUGGACACCGAUGAAAAAACAAGGAGGAAGGGGGAAAAUGGUGAAUAAUAAUAAUAAUCUUCUUUUCUAAAUGUGCAGAGCGGUACUGUAAUAUUUUUUUUUCCUUUUUAUUCCCAUCUAAACACACCAAAAGUAUGUUGUGUGCUGGCCACCCCCCAUAAGACCAAUUGAGUCUGCUAAAAGGUUUGGUUGGACCGUGUCUCGAAAAUGAAUGUAUGGCAUGGUUGUCAUAUGGGUAGCGAUGCACAUGCAUGGAAAAACUGGUCUCCAAAAUGACCUGCAAAACUUAUUUAGAAACUAUUGUCCAACCGCCCCUCUGCCAUUAUCUACUGCUACAUAUACAAGUGACAUAUUAGCAAAUAUAACAUACAUAUUUAGAUCAGUAAAUAAAUAUUGUAAAACCCCCUUUGCGGGGCACAGGACUUGGCGCAAGACAAAACAUGUUAGUCCAAUAAAUGAAAACUUGGGAGCAGUGUA
rnacentral:lncRNA from 1 species